AGCGGAGCGUGUGGUUUAAUUCGAGGCUACGCGAAGAACCUUACCUGGGUUUGACAUGUCGGUAGUACGGAAGCGAAAGCGGAAGGACCCUUCGGGGAGCCGAUGCAGGUGCUGCAUGGUUGUCGUCAGCUCGUGCCGUGAGGUGUUCGGUUAAGUCCGCGAACGAGCGCAACCCCCGGUGUCAGUUAUACGUGUCUGGCACGACUGCCUGCGGCAAGCAGGAGGAAGGUGGGGACGAUGUCAAGUCAGCAUGACCUUUAUAUCCAGGGCGACACACACGCUACAAUGA
rnacentral:rRNA from 1 species